UACGUAGGUGGCUAGCGUUGUCCGGAUUUACUGCGCGUAAAGAGCGCGCAGGCGGUCGUUCAAGUCGCGUGUGAAAGCCCCCGGCUCAACUGGGGAGGGUCACGCGAUACUGAUCGACUCGAAGGCAGGAGAGGGUAGUGGAAUUCCCGGUGUAGUGGUGAAAUGCGUAGAUAUCGGGAGGAACACCAGUGGCGAAGGCGACUACCUGGCCUGUUCUUGACGCUGAGGCGCGAAAGCUAGGGGAGCAAACGGG
rnacentral:rRNA from 1 species